ACAGAGGGUGCGAGCGUUAAUCGGAAUUACUGGGCGUAAAGCGCACGUAGGUGGCGACGUAUGUCGGGUGUGAAAGCCCCGGGCUCAACCUGGGAAUUGCAUCCGAAACUGCGUUGCUGGAGUACGGAAGAGGAAGGCGGAAUUCCCGGUGUAGCGGUGAAAUGCGUAGAUAUUGGGAGGAACACCAGUGGCGAAGGCGGCUUACUGGACCGGAACUGACGCUGAGGCGCGAAAGCGUGGGGAGCAAACAGGA
rnacentral:rRNA from 1 species